GACGAAAGCAUUCACAUCUCCCACGAUAUGAUAUUUGUUCGUCUUUAGUCCUUCCCUCUUAAACCGUCUUCGUUUGCUUGAAAUCGAGUUGUUCAUUUAGAGAUUUUUCAAAAGUGUAAGUUGCCUAAUGAUGGCGAACAUGCAAGUCCAAUUAGUGUAGAUGCGAAGAUGCUAUGCCCUGUGACCAACUAUUGUUUUAGAAAGAGGGAAGGUUUUGUACCUGCCAUCCUUGCCUCUCAAUGCUUCAUAGCGAAAGUCAGCAUGGAUAGUUGUGCAUCAACAUUGUUUUCUCUGCACAGAAAGCAAGGCAAGAGUUUAGUUGUUGUAUCAUUAUUUGGUGGGAGCUCUUCAAAGACCAUCAGAUAGUUUGCAAGAAUUGCUGCCGUUGCUGCUGAUCCUGCAAAACAGACUGAUGUAAGUUAUGAGCUUGUUGGCUUUGGUGGUUCGAGGAGUGUGUAUUUCAUAAGAAGAAAGAAUCCAUGAGUUGAUUAUCUUCUGUUACGCCAAUGGAUAUGGUUUAAGAUAUUUUGAAGGUGGUUGCUUUUGUGUCAUAGAAACAAAGUGUAUAUAUUUUGUAAAAACUGGAGAAGUUGCAUGUUUUGGAGUGAUUUUCUUCAACAAUGUCUGCCAUGGAAUGGUAGCGCAUGGGGUAGUUCAAA